GACGAACGCUGGCGGCGUGCUUAACACAUGCCAGUCGAACGGGCCUUGUCCCCUUUUUUUUUGGGGGUGGGGUUAGUGGCGAACGGGUGAGUAACACGUGAGUAACCUGCCCCUCACUUCUGGAUAACCGCUUGAAAGGGUGGCUAAUACGGGGUGUUCUGGCCUGCUCGCAUGGGUGGGUUUGGAAAGAUUCGACCGGUUUUGGUUGUUUUGGUGGGGGAUGGGCUCGCGGCCUAUCAGCUUGUUGGUGGGGUGAUGGCCUGCCAAGGCUUUGACGGGUAGCCGGCCUGAGAGGGUGGGCGGUCACACUGGGACUGAGACACGGCCCAGACUCCUACGGGAGGCAGCAGUGGGGAAUAUUGCACAAUGGGCGCAAGCCUGAUGCAGCGACGCCGCGUGAGGGAUGGAGGCCUUCGGGUUGUGAACCUCUUUCGCCAGUGAAGAAGGUCCUGCUCUUUGUGGUGGGGUUGACGGUAGCUGGGUUAAUGAAGCGCCGGCUAACUACGUG
rnacentral:rRNA from 1 species